rfam:Triticum aestivum genome assembly, contig: Triticum_aestivum_CS42_TGACv1_scaffold_425945_5BS
AAAUUACUCCCUCCGUCCCAAAAUUCUUGUCUUAGAUUUGUCUAGAUACAGAUGUAUCAAGUCACAUUUUAGUAUUAAUACAUCCGUAUCUAGACAAAUCUAAGACAAGAAAUUUGGGACAGAGGGAGUAGUUG